rnacentral:rRNA from 1 species
AUUGAACGCUGGCGGCAUGCCUUACACAUGCAAGUCGAACGGCAACAGGUCUUCGGAUGCUGACGAGUGGCGAACGGGUGAGUAAUACAUCGGAACGUGCCUAGUAGUGGGGGAUAACUACUCGAAAGAGUGGUUAAUACCGCAUGAGAUCUACGGAUGAAAGCAGGGGAUCGCAAGACCUUGUGCUACUAGAGCGGCCGAUGGCAGAGUAGGUAGUUGGUGGGAUAAAAGCUUACCAAGCCGACGAUCUGUAGCUGGUCUGAGAGGACGAUCAGCCACACUGGGACUGAGACACGGCCCAGACUCCUGCGGGAGGCAGCAGUGGGGAAUUUUGGACAAUGGGCGCAAGCCUGAUCCAGCAAUGCCGCGUGCAGGAUGAAGGCCUUCGGGUUGUAAACUGCUUUUGUACGGAACGAAAAGCCCCGGGUUAAUACCCUGGGGUCAUGACGGUACCGUAAGAAUAAGCACCGGCUAACUACGUGCCAGCCGCCGCCGUAA